GACGAACGCUGGCGGCGUGCUUAACACAUGCAAGUCGAACGGAAAGGCCCUGCUUUUGUGGGGUGCUCGAGUGGCGAACGGGUGAGUAACACGUGAGUAACCUGCCCUUGACUUUGGGAUAACUUCAGGAGACUGGGGCUAAUACCGGAUAGGAGCUCCUGCUGCAUGGUGGGGGUUGGAAAGUUUCGGCCGUUGGGGCUGGACUCGCGGCUUAUCAGCUUGUUGGUGGGGUAGUGGCUUACCAAGGCUUUGACGGGUAGCCGGCCUGAGAGGGUGACCGGCCACAUGGGGACUGAGAGACGGCCCAGACUCCUACGGGAGGCAGCAGGGGGGAAUAUUGCACAAUGGGCGGAAGCCUGAUGCAGCAACGCCGCGUGCGUGAUGACGGCCUUCGGGUUGUAAACCGCUUUCGCCGGAGACGAAGCGUGAGUGACGGUAAUGGGUAAAGAAGCACCGGCUAACUACGUG
rnacentral:rRNA from 1 species